CUUGGGAUAGCUCAGUUGGUAGAGCAUGUGACUCUUAAUCUCAUGGAUGUGGGUUCGAGGCCACAAAAGAUUCCUGCAAUUCAGGG